UACGGGGGGAGCAAGCGUUGUUCGGAUUUACUGGGCGUAAAGGGCGCGUAGGCGGCCACCGCAAGUCAGUUGUGAAAUCUCUGGGCUUAACCCAGAACGGUCAGCUGAUACUGCGGGGCUAGAGUGCAGAAGGGGCAACUGGAAUUCUCGGUGUAGCGGUGAAAUGCGUAGAUAUCGAGGGGAACACCUGCGGCGAAGGCGGGUUGCUGGGCUGACACUGACGCUGACAGCGCGAAAGCUAGGGGAGCGAACGGG
rnacentral:rRNA from 1 species